GCUAGUAAUCGCGGAUCAGCAUGCCGCGGUGAAUGCGUUCCCGGGCCUUGUACACACCGCCCGUCACACCAUGGGAGUUGAUAGCACCCGAAAGUGGUGAGGUAACCGCAAGGAGCCAGCCGCCUAAGGUGAGAUCAAUGACUGGGGUGAAGUCGUAACAAGGUAAC
rnacentral:rRNA from 1 species